ensembl:lncRNA
UCAUAAGAGAUAAAAGUUUCGUAUUAAUUUAAUUAUAAUACUUCAUUCAUACUAAUUUAACCAACAAAGAUGACAUGAAGUGUUACAUUUGAACAGGUUUUGUGCAGUUGCAUUCAUGUUCAGAAUAUUUAUUUUUUAAAUUAAAAAAUGAACACAUACCCAAAUACUAACCACAUAGUGUAAAAAUAAUACAUGUUUAAAUAUCCACCCACUUUUAAUAAGCCCAUUUCCAUACAAAACAACAGAUGUUGGAUUUAAACAAAUUCACACAACAUUCAUUCUAAGGAUAAUAUUUGAAAAACAAACCACUUGGUAGCAUUUGGUACUCCCUGGCACACACAGGGGCAUAAAGCUGGUUUUUACACACAAAACAACUAGCUGCAGCACACUCAUAUCAGAUACAUGUUAUAUUGCUGUAGACACAUUUGUACCAUAGAGUGCCACUGAAAACAAGCUGUUCUAAAGCCAUAACAGUAAAGCAGCAACAUGCCAUGGAGCAGUUCGCUCAGAGCAUACAUACAUUAUGAGAUAUCACCUUACCAUUCCUUAGGAAGCCUGCUGGAGAUCUACAAGUCUUUAAUAUGCCUGAGACAGAGUUUGGUUUUGGGAAAUACCAGCCCUUCGAUAGCAAAACCCCGACAGAUAUUAUGUUGAUCUACAACAUACAGAGAGAAUAGAUCUGGCAGCACUGCUUUGUGAACACAAGUAUCUUCUAUUCAUCUGUAGCCUGGAUCUGCACAGAGGAAUAUUCAGGGGUUUAAUGUUAACCACCUCCUUUCAGCUUCACCAUAAAGACAAAGCAGGCCAAUUUAAAAAAAAAAAUGGCUAUGCUUUCAGCUCUACAUAUUCUUGGCUAGGCAUGACACAGAGAGUAUUCACUUCGGAUGUAAAUAUUGUGCAAAAUAAGUGCUUGAAGCAUUUUUGACACAGCCACAUUAAGAGCAUACAGACAAACCACCCGACAAACAGUAAGAAAAUACCAAUGUUGUUCGCUCCACAAUGAAGACUCAGUGAGCCAGUUCUCAGACAGUACAAAUCUAAAUGAAUUUCCCCCAAUGGUAGAAUGUUUAUACAUAUACAGUACACAGGAUUGUUACACAAAGAGGAAACAUCCCCUAAUGGAUGUAUUGGACAUACAGUAUUAAUAUACUGAAGCUAGAUAGUAACGGGCAGGACUGACAUUCUGGGUCAGUAUGAGUGAACAGUGAAAGUAAGGGCUGACAUCUCAUGGACCACCCCUCCCCUCGUCUCAGGAAGCAGAAGCCGGGGCCUCAGCCUCGCUCUGCCCCGCUAGGGGGAUGUUGGCCGUUUUACAGUCCUGAUCGCCCCCAGUCACUGCAGGAUAGUCCUGCUGGAGCAUGGCACCGCCUGCCUGUGUCUCAGUCUCUACCCCUGGUCUGGACCCUGUAUCUGGGGGAGACUGUUCAUUUGUUUCUCCCUGGUUCUCCAUGACACUCUUCUGCUUCCUCUCCUCCUCCUCCUCCUCCUCCCGCUUCCUCUCCUCCUCCUCCUCCUCCUCCCGCUUCCUCUCCUCCUCCUCCCGCUUCCUCUCCUC